rnacentral:rRNA from 1 species
AUUGAACGCUGGCGGCAGGCCUAACACAUGCAAGUCGAACGAGUGGCGGACGGGUGAGUAAUGUCUGGGAAUCUGCCUGAUGGAGGGGGAUAACUACCGGAAACGGUAGCUAAUACCGCAUACCAUCGGAUGUUCCCAGAUGGGAUUAGCGAGUAGGUGGGGUAAAGGCUCACCUAGGUGACGAUCCCUAGCUGGUCUGAGAGGAUGACCAGCAACACUGGAACUGAGACACGGUCCAGACUCAUACGGGAGGCAGCAGUGGGGAAUAUUGCACAAUGGGCGCAAGCCUGAUGCAGCCAUGCCGCGUGUAUGAAGAAGGCCUUCGGAUUGUAAAGUACUUUCAGCGGGGAGGCGUUACCAGCAGAAGAAGCACCGGCUAACGCCGUGCCAGCAGCCGCGGUAAUAC